rnacentral:rRNA from 1 species
UACGUAGGGGGCAAGCGUUGUCCGGAUUCAUUGGGCGUAAAGAGCGUGUAGGCGGCCAGGUAGGUCGGUUGUGAAAACUGGAGGCUCAACCUUCAGAGGUCGACCGAAACCAUCUGGCUAGAGUCCGGGAGAGGAGAGUGGAAUUCCUGGUGUAGCAGUGAAAUGCGCAGAUAUCAGGAAGAACACCCGUGGCGAAGGCGGCUCUCUGGAACGCAACUGACGCUGAGACGCGAAAGCGUGGGGAGCAAACAGG